CCUACGGGGGGCUGCAGUGAGGAAUAUUGGUCAAUGGACGAGAGUCUGAACCAGCCAAGUAGCGUGAAGGAUGACUGCCCUAUGGGUUGUAAACUUCUUUUAUAAAGGAAUAAAACGAGGCACGUGUGCCUUUUUGCAUGUACUUUAUGAAUGAGGAUCGGCUAACUCCGUGCCAGCAGCCGCGGUAAUACGGAGGAUCCGAGCGUUAUCCGGAUUGAUUGGGUUUAAAGGGAGCGUAGAUGGGUUGUUAAGUCAGUUGUGAAAGUUUGCGGCUCAACCGUAAAAUUGCAAUUGAUACUGGCAGUCUUGAGUACAGUUGAGGUAGGCGGAAUUCGUGGUGUAGCGGUGAAAUGCUUAGAUAUCACGAAGAACCCCGAUUGCGAAGGCAGCUUACUAAACUGUGACUGACAUUGAUGCUCGAAAGUGUGGGUAUCAAACAGGAUUAGAUACCCGUGUAGUC
rnacentral:rRNA from 1 species